UACAGAGGGUGCGAGCGUUAAUCGGAAUUACUGGGCGUAAAGGGCGCGUAGGCGGUGUGUCAAGUCAGGCGUGAAAGCCCCGGGCUCAACCUGGGAACCGCGCUUGAGACUGGCACGCUCGAGUUCGGGAGAGGAUGGUGGAAUUCCCAGUGUAGAGGUGAAAUUCGUAGAUAUUGGGAAGAACACCGAUGGCGAAGGCAGCCAUCUGGACCGACACUGACGCUGAGGCGCGAAAGCGUGGGGAGCAAACAGG
rnacentral:rRNA from 1 species